CCCAUUGUUGUAUACCAUGUUUAGAAGUUCUGACCAGUAACCCAUCCAUGAUACUAAAUUGGACUUUAUAUCUCAUCAAGAUUCGUAAAUCUUCAUUAUCUUUGCAAUCCUCAUCUGUGAUGGGAUUGGCAAUAGGGUCUUCUAUAUGUCUAUAGAAUAUGCCUAUGACGGGAUCAUUCUUUUGACUAGUAAUCAGGUCCUGAUUAGGAGCUUCUUGACUCCAUUGCACGACAUUUAAGUCGGCAUUAUCUCUAGCCUGUCGUCUAGUUAUGGCUUCAACAUGAAUUGAACCCAUAAGAUCAUCAAUGUUUAGGGUUUCACCAUUGAUGGCAGCUUGUUUUGCCAGUGAAUCGGCUAAGUCAUUACCAUCCUUGUCAAUACCUUCUAUUUUAGAAUGGCC